GCUCUCUCACUUUUUCUCUCUCUUAUACAUCUUGUUGUCCCUAUGUUUCUUUUCUUUUCUUUUCAUUGAUUGUUAGUGUCAGAAUAUUUGCAGUCCUUUGAAGACUAGUUAGGUUAGUUUUCACAAGCAGGCAUAUCGGAGAUGUAAAGCCAAUAGAAAUCCUGCUGUUCUGUGGGUGAGCUGGAAGCAACUGAUCCAUGGUAUCUCAGGAACGCCGUUGUCAAAAGAUCCUUGUACAUCUCUGUCACACUCUCCCCUCGGCAUCGCUCAUCCACAUCUGGAGACCAUGCUGUCAGAUUUACUAGAACUGGAGCGUGUAUCAGUUGGAUGUUGAUCAGCACCCCUUGAUAUGGUUUCAUCAACACAUCAGAAGAGGGUGCUGGUUGUAGUACUGGGCACUCUUGCAUCAUCUCCAUCAUCGGCAGGACCACUAUCAGGACCCAUUGCCACAUCUUUUUGUCGCUCCGUUAAGAA